GGCUGCAGUCGAGAAUCUUCCGCAAUGCGCGAAAGCGUGACGGAGCGAUGCCGCGUGCCGGAUGAAGGCCUUCGGGUCGUAAACGGCUGUCACCCGGAACGAAUAUUGACGGUACCGGGAGAGGAAGCCACGGCUAACUACGUGCCAGCAGCCGCGGUAAUACGUAGGUGGCUAGCGUUAUUCGGAUUUAUUGGGCGUAAAGGGUUCGUAGGGGGCCGAGUAAGUCUGAUGUGAAAUCCAACGGCUCAACCGUUGAACUGCAUUGGAUACUGCCCGGCUAGAGUACUGGAGAGGUAAGCAGAAUUCCUGGUGUAGCGGUGGAAUGCGUAGAUAUCAGGAGGAAUACCGACGGCGAAGGCAGCUUACUGGACAGUUACUGACCCUCAUGAACGAAAGCUAGGGGAGCAAACAGGAUUAGAUACCCUGGUAGUCCUAGCUGUAAACGUUGUUCACUAGAUGUAGGCGGAUUGGUCCCGUCUGUGUCCAAGCUAACGUGAUAAGUGAACCGCCUGGGGAGUACGGCCGCAAGGCUAAAACUCAAAGGAAUUGACGGGGGCCCGCACAAGCGGUGGAGCAUGUGGCUUAAUUCGAGGCAACGCGAAGAACCUUACCUGGGUUUGACAUAUAUCUGACCGCCAUGGAAACAUGGUUUCUCUUCGGAGCGGAUAUACAGAUGCUGCAUGGCUGUCGUCAGCUCGUGCCGUGAGGUGUUCGGUUAAGUCCGGCAACGAGCGCAACCCGUGCUGCUAGUUACCAGCGAGUAAUGUCGGGGACUCUAGCAGGACUGCCCGUGCUAAGCGGGAGGAAGGCGCGGACGACGUCAAGUCAGUAUGGCUCUUACACCCAGGGCUGCACACGUGCUACAAUGACCGGUACAAUGGGAUGCCACUCUGCGGAGAGGCGCCAAUCUCUAAAACCGGCCCCAGUUCAGAUUGGAGUCUGCAACUCGACUCCAUGAAGUCGGAAUCGCUAGUAAAGGCGUAUCAGCAACGACGCCUUGAAUACGUUCCCGGGCAUUGUACACACCGCCCGUCACAUCAUGGAAGCCUGUUGCACCCGAAGUCGCUGACCGAACCCGCAAGGGACGGAGGUGCCGAAGGUGUGG
rnacentral:rRNA from 1 species